rnacentral:rRNA from 1 species
GACGAACGCUGGCGGCGUGCUUAACACAUGCAAGUCGAACGGAAAGGCCCUGCUUUUGUGGGCUGCUCGGGUGGCGAACGGGUGAGUAACACGUGAGUAACCUGCCCUUGACUUUCGGGUAACUUCAGGAAACUGGGGCUAAUAUCGGAUAGGAGCUCCUGCUGCAUGGUGGGGGUUGGAAAGUUUCGGCGGUUGGGGAUGGACGCGCGGCUUAUCAGCUUGUUGGUGGGGUAGUGGCUUACCCAGCCUUGGACGGGUCGCCGGCCUGAGAGGGUGACCGGGCACAAUGGGACUGAGAUACGGACCAGACUCGUACGGGAGGCAGCAGUGGGGAAUAUUGCACAAUGGGCGGGCGCGUGAUGCAGCAACGCCGCGUGCGGGAUGACGGCCUUCGGGUUGUAAACCGCUUUCGCCUGUGACGAAGCGUGAGUGACGGUAAUGGGUAAAGAAGCACCGGCUAACUACGUG